AGUACGGCCGCAAGGUUAAAACUCAAAUGAAUUGACGGGGGCCCGCACAAGCGGUGGAGCAUGUGGUUUAAUUCGAUGCAACGCGAAGAACCUUACCUGGUCUUGACAUCCACGGAAGUUUUCAGAGAUGAGAAUGUGCCUUCGGGAACCGUGAGACAGGUGCUGCAUGGCUGUCGUCAGCUCGUGUUGUGAAAUGUUGGGUUAAGUCCCGCAACGAGCGCAACCCUUAUCCUUUGUUGCCAGCGGUCCGGCCGGGAACUCAAAGGAGACUGUUAGUGAUAAACUGGAGGAAGGUGGGGAUGACGUCAAGUCAUCAUGGCCCUUACGACCAGGGCUACACACGUGCUACAAUGGCGCAUACAAAGAGAAGCGACCUCGCGAGAGCAAGCGGACCUCAUAAAGUGCGUCGUAGUCCGGAUUGGAGUCUGCAACUCGACUCCAUGAAGUCGGAAUCGCUAGUAAUCGUGGAUCAGAAUGCCACGGUGAAUACGUUCCCGGGCCUUGUACACACCGCCCGUCACACCAUGGGAGUGGGUUGCAAAAGAAGUAGGUAGCUUAACCUUCGGGAGGGCGCUUACCACUUUGUGAUUCAUGACUGGGGUGAAGUCGUAACAAGGUAACC
rnacentral:rRNA from 1 species